GCCUAACGGCAUACCACCCUGGAAACGCGCCAGACUCGUCUGAUCUCGGAGCUAAGCAGGGUCGGGCCCGGGUAGUACUUGGAUGGGAGACCUCCUGGGAAUACCGGGUGCUGGUAGGCU
rnacentral:rRNA from 1 species